rnacentral:rRNA from 1 species
AGUUAGCCGGGGUUUCGUUUACCAGAUACUGUCAUUAUCAUCUCUGGCGAAAAGAGCUUUACGACCCUAAAGGCCUUCGUCACUCACGCGGCAUGGCUAGAUCAGGCUUGCGCCCAUUGUCUAAGAAUUCCCC